UACACACGCACGCACACACGUACGCACACACGUACGCACACACGUACGCACACACGUGUGCUGACUCACUCAUAUUUUCACUCACUCAUGUACUCGCUCACUCAUGUACUCGCUCACUCAUGUACUCGCUCACUCAUGUACUCGCUCACUCAUUCACUCGCUCACGUACUCACUCACUCGUACUCACUCACCAAACCCCUGCUUUGUGGCGACCGUAUGAUGUCCACAUAAACACGCUCACCUUGCUCCGACCUUACGCCCCCCAGACGCAUCAACACUUUGUGAGGACCUAGUGAUGUCCGCAUUCUCUUUAAGGCCCAAUCCCAGUCCUACCCCUCCCCCCUUCCCCUUCCCCCUCCCCCCUUC